AUUCAGAGUCAGGGGAGGUGUGACAAGGGCUGCAUAAACAGAAACUUAGUGAUUUAACUCCUAAAUGGCAGUGAACUGUUGUUUAGGUGACUAUAGUGUUCCUAUAAAGAUUGUGUAAAUCUUCUGUACUUAAAGCAAAACUCCAGACACCGAAUGCAAUUUAGCUUGCUAAACUUUAUGUGUGAAGAGUAUGCCCUUUUUUUUUUCCAUUUUGCAAAAAGUGCAGAUUUCAAUAUAAAUUAACCUUGUUAC